GAUGAACGCUAGCUACAGGCUUAACACAUGCAAGUCGAGGGGCAUCAGGAAGAAAGCUUGCUUUCUUUGCUGGCGACCGGCGCACGGGUGAGUAACACGUAUCCAACCUGCCCUUUACUCGGGGAUAGCCUUUCGAAAGAAAGAUUAAUACCCGAUAGCAUAAUGAUUCCGCAUGGUUUCAUUAUUAAAGGAUUCCGGUAAAGGAUGGGGAUGCGUUCCAUUAGGUUGUUGGUGAGGUAACGGCCCACCAAGCCUUCGAUGGAUAGGGGUUCUGAGAGGAAGGUCCCCCACAUUGGAACUGAGACACGGUCCAAACUCCUACGGGAGGCAGCAGUGAGGAAUAUUGGUCAAUGGGCGCUAGCCUGAACCAGCCAAGUAGCGUGAAGGAUGAAGGCUCUAUGGGUCGUAAACUUCUUUUAUAUAAGAAUAAAGUGCAGUAUGUAUACUGUUUUGUAUGUAUUAUAUGAAUAAGGAUCGGCUAACUCCGUGCCAGCAGCCGCGGUAAUACGGAGGAUCCGAGCGUUAUCCGGAUUUAUUGGGUUUAAAGGGAGCGUAGGUGGACUGGUAAGUCAGUUGUGAAAGUUUGCGGCUCAACCGUAAAAUUGCAGUUGAUACUGUCAGUCUUGAGUACAGUAGAGGUGGGCGGAAUUCGUGGUGUAGCGGUGAAAUGCUUAGAUAUCACGAAGAACUCCGAUUGCGAAGGCAGCUCACUGGACUGCAACUGACACUGAUGCUCGAAAGUGUGGGUAUCAAACAGGAUUAGAUACCCUGGUAGUCCACACAGUAAACGAUGAAUACUCGCUGUUUGCGAUAUACAGUAAGCGGCCAAGCGAAAGCAUUAAGUAUUCCACCUGGGGAGUACGCCGGCAACGGUGAAACUCAAAGGAAUUGACGGGGGCCCGCACAAGCGGAGGAACAUGUGGUUUAAUUCGAUGAUACGCGAGGAACCUUACCCGGGCUUAAAUUGCAGUGGAAUGAUGUGGAAACAUGUCAGUGAGCAAUCACCGCUGUGAAGGUGCUGCAUGGUUGUCGUCAGCUCGUGCCGUGAGGUGUCGGCUUAAGUGCCAUAACGAGCGCAACCCUUAUCUUUAGUUACUAACAGGUUAUGCUGAGGACUCUAGAGAGACUGCCGUCGUAAGAUGUGAGGAAGGUGGGGAUGACGUCAAAUCAGCACGGCCCUUACGUCCGGGGCUACACACGUGUUACAAUGGGGGGUACAGAAGGCAGCUAGCGGGUGACCGUAUGCUAAUCCCAAAAUCCUCUCUCAGUUCGGAUCGAAGUCUGCAACCCGACUUCGUGAAGCUGGAUUCGCUAGUAAUCGCGCAUCAGCCACGGCGCGGUGAAUACGUUCCCGGGCCUUGUACACACCGCCCGUCAAGCCAUGGGAGCCGGGGGUACCUGAAGUACGUAACCGCAAGGAUCGUCCUAGGGUAAAACUGGU
rnacentral:rRNA from 1 species